GCGCGAAAACUUUACAAUGCACGAAAGUGCGAUAAGGGGACCCCGAGUGUUGGUGCCUAGCAUCAACUGUCCAACUGUCUAAAAAACAGUUAUUAGCAAGAGCCGGGUAAGACCGGUGCCAGCCGCCGCGGUAACACCGGCGGCUCGAGUGGUGAUCACUAUUAUUGGGUCUAAAGGGUUCGUAGCCGGCUUAGUAAGUUCUUUGGGAAAUCUGGCGGCUUAACCGUCAGGCUGCCAAGGGAUACUGUUAAGCUUGAGACCGGGAGGGGCUAGAGGUACUUCAGGGGUAGGGGUGAAAUCCUGUGAUCCCUGUGAGACCACCAGUGGCGAAGGCGUCUAGCUAGAACGGGUCUGACGGUGAUGAACGAAAGCUAGGGGCACGAACCGGAUUAGAUACCCGGGUAGUCCUAGCUGUAAACGAUGCAAGCUAGGUGUCACAGUAGCUGCGAGCUACUGUGGUGCCGUAGGGUAGCCAUGAAGCUUGCCACCUGGGAAGUACGGCCGCAAGGCUGAAACUUAAAGGAAUUGGCGGGGG
rnacentral:rRNA from 1 species